rnacentral:rRNA from 1 species
UACGGAGGGGGCAAGCGUUGUUCGGAAUUACUGGGCGUAAAGGGCGCGCAGGCGGCUGCUCAAGUCAGGCGUGAAAGGCCUGGGCUCAACCCGGGAAUUGCGCUUGAGACUGGGCUGGCUUGAGUGCGGGAGAGGAUGGUGGAAUUCCGCGUGUAGCAGUGAAAUGCGUAGAUAUGCGGAGGAACACCGAUGGCGAAGGCAAUCCCCUGGGCCUGCACUGACGCUCAUGCACGAAAGCGUGGGGAGCAAACAGG